UAUGGGUCCAGCAGAUAGCCAGUGCUGUAAAACACCUACUGGGAACUUGCCCUCAGAACUGUGAUGGUCCCGCACACCUGCAUUUGUAAGGUGAAAUCAAGUGGAUCAGGAGCGCAAGGUCAACCUCAGCUACACAGAAUUCUAGGCCAGCCUGAGCAGCACAAGACCCCUUCUCAAACAAGAGAACUGUAGUGAAAGAGCUGAGCAAACUAAGUGAAGGGGAUUAAUCCACAGACCCGAGGCUGGCCUGCACUACCAGGAUAGACUUCCGAACCCAACCAGGUUGGUCUCAAGCUCAUGAGUGUGUCAGAACACAUGGAUUUUCCAAAUACUAAAUAUUCUGGGGGGGGGGGUCGUGAAUUUACAUGCCUUUGAAGGUCAGAGGAGGAUGUCAGAUCUUCUGAAGCUACAGGCAACUGUUAGCUGUCCCCCAUGGGCACUGAGAAUGAAGCACACGUCUCUUGGAAGAACAGUGCUCGUUGCUGAUCUCUGAACUAUCUCUCCAGCACCCUAGGUUUAGUUUUUAGAAGACUUGUCUGGUAAGGCACAGUGGCCAUGGGGGUAGGAAGAGGACACUCACCACCGGACAAGCAUGAUCUUUCUAGCGUUGAGUUCUUACUUCAUGGAGCAUUUGAGUA
rnacentral:lncRNA from 1 species